UCUUUGAAAGAAUGAGAAAAAUAAUUUUAUUUCUGAUAACUUAAGCUAAACAGAGAACUCAUAACUUCAGCCAAGAAAGCCAGAGAAGGAAAAGGGGGAAUAAAUGGAACUAGAGCCCAGGUCUCUUUCAAGUCCAGUAUGCCUUCAGCCACAUCAGACUGCCUCUUGUUCAUGAAAAUGACAAGCAUUAAAAAAGCUAUAAAUUAAAAGGAGAGAAGGAGUUUUAGAUGUUUUCUGCAAAUGUUUGAUAACUCACCUGAAAAGUACCAUUUGCUACCUCCUUCAAGGUAAUAUUUGUUCUGUAUUAACCAUGUAG